AGACCAUCUGAAAAUCGCGUGCUUGUAACCUCAUUGCACCUGACUUUUAAGAUCGGCGGACGGUUUUUUUUUUCUCUCCAUUGUUUAUGACCUGCGGAACCAGAUAAUGACCUCCGUCUCCCCCGAGAACACUUGCCCCAAGAGUUCCCGAUGGAAUACGCUCUCUAUCGAAGUCUGAAUUGGAAAAGGGAAGAAUGAUGGGGAAUCAAAGCGGGAAGGGAGUGAGGACCAUGGACCAAGCUAAUUGUCCAUUAUGGAUUCAGUUCCUAGAGAACUAGGGGAAGGCUGGAGCCACGGACCUAAGCCGAAAAUCAAUUCAGUCUCAAUUAAAGGAGAUUCACCCUAGUUCAAAUCUCGGAAUUCAAUCUAGCAAGCAUUUAUUAAACACUUACUGUGUGUAAAAAGGGGGAUGAAGAGGACUAUUGUUUACUAAAACAUGUUAUUCACCCCUGAGACAGCAAACCUGGCAGGGGUUACCUUUUUUGGGUCAUGGACUUCUGUGGCAGUCUGAUGAAGCCUAAUAAGACUGUGGCUUGUGGCCUAUAUUCAGAAUUUAAGAAAAUGCUUAAUUUCAGUUACAGACUGGAGUCAGAAGGAAGACCUGAGUUCCAAUCUAGCCUCUGUGACUGUGGGCAAAUCACUUAUCCCUGUUUGCCUUGAUUUCCUCAUCUGUUUAAAAAAAUGAGUUGGAGAAGGAAAUGACAAAUGAUUCCAGUAUUUUUGCCAAGAAAACCCCAAAUGAAGUUAUGAAGUCUUAAACAUGACUAAAAAGACUCAACAACAAAUGCUUCCACCUGCACUCUGAAUCCAUUAGUUCCUUAUCUGGAGGAGGAUAGCAACUUUCAUCAGGAGUCUUUUGGUCAUUGUGUUCAUCCAAAUUAUUUAGUCUUUCAAAGUUGACUAUCUUCACAAUUUUGCUGUUACUAUGUAAAUUGCACUUCCAGUUCUGUCCGCUUCACUUUGUAUCAAUUCAUACAAGUCUUCCCAGUUUUUUUUUCUGAAACCAUCUGAUAAAAUUUUUUUACAGCAAAAUCAUAUUUCAGCACAUUCAUAUAUCCAUAACUUGUUCAGCCAUUCCCCAAUUGAUGGGCAUCGACUUCAUGCAAUUUUUCACUGUCUAUCUUCAAUACUGGAAUUCUUUCACUCUUCAUCUCCAUCACCUGGCUUCCCUACCAAAAGCUCCCCUUUUGCCAGAAGUCUUUCCAGAUCCCCAUUAAUAUUUGUGCCUUCCCUCUACUGAUUAUCUCAAUUUAUCCAGUCUAUAUCUGGUUGUACAUAGUUGUUUCCAUGUUGUCUCUCCCAUUAGAUUGCAAGGGCCUUGAGAAUAGUUUUCUUUGUAUCCCCAGUGUUUUACACAGUGCUGGGCAUGUAGGAGAAGUUUAAUAAAUGCUAAUUGACUGAUUGAGUGGUUGUGUUC
rnacentral:lncRNA from 1 species